GAUGAACGCUGGCGGCGUGCCUAAUACAUGCAAGUCGAGCGACAGACGAGGAGCUUGCUCCUCUGACGUUAGCGGCGGACGGGUGAGUAGCACGUGGAUAACCUACCUAUAAGACUGGGAUAACUUCGGGAAACCGGAGCUAAUACCGGAUAAUAUAUUGAACCGCAUGGUUCAAUAGUGAAAGACGGUUUUGCUGUCACUUAUAGAUGGAUCCGCGCCGCAUUAGCUAGUUGGUAAGGUAACGGCUUACCAAGGCAACGAUGCGUAGCCGACCUGAGAGGGUGAUCGGCCACACUGGAACUGAGACACGGUCCAGACUCCUACGGGAGGCAGCAGUAGGGAAUCUUCCGCAAUGGGCGAAAGCCUGACGGAGCAACGCCGCGUGAGUGAUGAAGGUCUUCGGAUCGUAAAACUCUGUUAUUAGGGAAGAACAAAUGUGUAAGUAACUAUGCACGUCUUGACGGUACCUAAUCAGAAAGCCACGGCUAACUACGUGCCAGCAGCCGCGGUAAUA
rnacentral:rRNA from 1 species